rnacentral:rRNA from 1 species
GACGAACGCUGGCGGCGUGCUUAACACAUGCAAGUCGAACGGAAAGGCCCUGCUUUUGUGGGGUGCUCGAGUGGCGAACGGGUGAGUAACACGUGAGUAACCUGCCCUUGACUUUGGGAUAACUUCAGGAAACUGGGGCUAAUACCGGAUAGGAGCUCCUGCUGCAUGGUGGGGGUUGGAAAGUUUCGGCGGUUGGGGAUGGACUCGCGGCUGAUCAGCUUGUUGGUGGGGUAGUGGCUUACCAAGGCUUUGACGGGUAGCCGGCCUGAGAGGGUGACCGGCCACAUUGGGACGGAGAUACGGCCCAGACUCCUACGGGACGCAGCAGUGGAGAAGAUUGCACAAUGGGCGGAAGCCUGAUGCAGCAACGCCGCGUGCGGGAUGACGGCCUUCGGGUUGUAAACCGCUUUCGCCUGUGACGAAGCGUGAGUGACGGUAAUGGGUAAAGAAGCACCGGCUAACUACGUG